CAGCAGCCGCGGGAAUACAGAGGGUGCAAGCGUUAAUCGGAAUUACUGGGCGUAAAGCGCGCGUAGGUGGUUUGUUAAGUUGGAUGUGAAAUCCCCGGGCUCAACCUGGGAACUGCAUCCAAAACUGGCGAGCUAGAGUAUGGUAGAGGGUGGUGGAAUUUCCUGUGUAGCGGUGAAAUGCGUAGAUAUAGGAAGGAACAUCAGUGGCGAAGGCGACCACCUGGACUGAUACUGACACUGAGGUGCGAAAGCGUGGGGAGCAAACAGGAUUAGAUACCCCGGUAGUCCCUGUCUCUUAUAC
rnacentral:rRNA from 1 species